GACGAACGCUGGCGGCGUGCCUAAUACAUGCAAGUCGAGCGAACAGAUGAGGAGCUUGCACCACUGUCAAUAGCAGCGGACGGGUGAGUAACACGUGGAGAACCUACCUAUAAGCCUGGGAUAACUUCGGGAAACGAAUGCUAAUACCGCAUAAUAUCUUGAAACAUAUGGUUCAAGAGUGAAAGAUGCUAUUGCAUCAAUCUAUAAUGAUCUCCGCGCGGCUUUAGCAAGUUGGUAAGUAAACGGCUUACCAAGGCAAGGAUGAGUAGCCACCCUGAGAGGGUGAUCGGCCACACUGGAACUGAGACAGGGUCAAGACUCCUACGGGAGGCAGCAGUAGGGAAUCUUCCGCAAUGGGCGAAGGCCUGACGGAGCAACGCCGCGUGAGUGAUGAAGGUCUUCGGAUCGUAAAACUCUGUUAUUAGGGAAGAACAAAUGUGUAAGUAACUAUGCACGUCUUGACGGUACCUAAUCAGAAAGCCACGGCUAACUACGUG
rnacentral:rRNA from 1 species